CCCCCAUGGCUCUUCUGUAAUCAACAGGCCACGCGGCUUGUUCCUUGCACAUCAAGGUCAGGAGGAGACAGUGACGAAAUGUUUGGAAACCCAUCCAGCCUGCCAGGAAAGUGUGUGUGUGUGUGUGUGUGUGUGUGUGUGUGUGUGUGUGUGUGUGUGUGUGUGCGCGCGCCCCCGCCAUGGCGAAGAGGACACAAGGCGCUUUCCUCUACAAAGAAAGCUGUGACUUUGGAUGCAGUAAAACAUGCAUAAUCCUCUCUGAGGCAGUUUACUAAGAGCCUUCCUGAGUUAGGAUUUCUAGCCGCCACCCUGCCGGUAGGUUAUAGAGAAACCAACCCCGUCUCUAUAAAGGACUUACAGGAACAUUACUUAGGAGAUGAAACGUUCCCGGGUUGAAUUCUCACAAUCUAGGCCAAAGUUGGGCGACUUUGACUCAAGGUCUUCUUAAACCACCCUGACAUAAUUUUCAGGCUCUAGCCAGUGAUGCCUCUUUUUUGCAUUUUGGUGGAUGAUAGGAAACUAGAAUUCUUCCAGAGCUGAGGGAAAGUCAGGUGUGUUUUGCUGUCUGUAUGGUGUUGUUUCUUAAGAUGAGUCAGAAAGCUUUCCUUUGAAGGAAAAACCACCGAGGAACACACUGAGUUCUGGCAGCCACUUUCCCUGGUGUCCAGUCCUAAGAGUCAGGUGCAGCCCUUCCUCUCAGAAGACCAAGGGCAGCAGACCCAUCCUCACCCCUGAGAUUGCAGAGCCUGAGUCUUCACCUCACCUAGGGAGUGGGUGACACAGACAACCUGCACAGAAACUCAAAGAACCAAGAGGCAUGGCUCUCCCAUCUUCACCCACCUCUUUGCUGGCUGCACCUCUGUGCACCUGGAAGGACUCCUCCCCAGAAGACAAGGGCUUAUUCGUCGUGUUAUGACAGGUCAGAGGAUUGACUACAAAACACCAGUUUCUCCUUCCGUGUGACAGUUCGUCCAUGUGAGGAAAGCAGAAGCAUCCCACUUGGCCCCCACUGUCCACUGCUGCCAUUCAUUAAACCUGCCGUACGUACAUACGAUGACCUUGUUAAAGGCUCAGCCCCUGCAGUUAACCAGAGCCAGCCCAGGGAGAGCCC
rnacentral:lncRNA from 1 species